rnacentral:rRNA from 1 species
GGAAUAUUGGUCAAUGGAGGGAACUCUGAACCAGCCAUGCCGCGUGCAGGAAGAAUGCCCUCUGGGUUGUAAACUGCUUUUAUCCGGGAAUAAACCUCACUACGUGUAGUGAGCUGAAUGUACCGGAGGAAUAAGGAUCGGCUAACUCCGUGCCAGCAGUCGCGGUAAUACGGAGGAUCCAAGCGUUAUCCGGAUUUAUUGGGUUUAAAGGGUGCGUAGGCGGCCUGUUAAGUCAGGGGUGAAAGACGGUGGCUCAACCAUCGCAGUGCCCUUGAUACUGGCGGGCUUGAAUGUACUUGAGGUAGGCGGAAUGUGACAAGUAGCGGUGAAAUGCAUAGAUAUGUCACAGAACACCGAUUGCGAAGGCAGCUUACUAAGGUAUGAUUGACGCUGAGGCACGAAAGCGUGGGGAUCAAACAG